rnacentral:rRNA from 1 species
UCACUGAUGGAUGGACCCGCGGUGCAUUAGCUAGUUGGUGAGGUAACGGCUCACCAAGGCCACGAUGCAUAGCCGACCUGAGAGGGUGAUCGGCCACACUGGGACUGAGACACGGCCCAGACUCCUACGGGAGGCAGCAGUAGGGAAUCUUCGGCAAUGGACGAAAGUCUGACCGAGCAACGCCGCGUGAGUGAAGAAGGUUUUCGGAUCGUAAAACUCUGUUGUUAGAGAAGAACAAGGAUGAGAGUAGAACGUUCAUCCCUUGACGGUAUCUAACCAGAAAGCCACGGCUAACUACGUGCCAGCAGCCGCGGUAAUACGUAGGUGGCAAGCGUUGUCCGGAUUUAUUGGGCGUAAAGCGAGCGCAGGCGGUUUCUUAAGUCUGAUGUGAAAGCCCCCGGCUCAACCGGGGAAGGUCAUUGGAAACUGGGAGACUUGAGUGCAGAAGAGGAGAGUGGAAUUCCAUGUGUAGCGGUGAAAUGCGUAGAUAUAUGGAGGAACACCAGUGGCGAAGGCGGCUCUCUGGUCUGUAACUGACGCUGAGGCUCGAAAGCGUGGGGAGCGAACAGGAUUAGAUACCCUGGUAGUCCACGCCGUAAACGAUGAGUGCUAAGUGUUGGAGGGUUUCCGCCCUUCA